GUGAACGUUAGCGGGAGCCUAAACACAUGCAACCCGAGCGGUAUUUCUUCUUCGGGAGAGAGAGAGCGGCGUACGGUUGCGUAACACGUGUGCAACUUGCCCCAAUCCGGGGGAUACCCUUCGAAAGGAGGAUUAAUACCCCAUAACAUAUUUAAUGGCAUCAUUGGAUAUUGAAAGCUUCGGCGGAUCGGGAUGGGCACGCGCGAGAUUAGAUAGUUGGCGGGGUAACGGCCCACCAAGUCUAUGAUCUCUAGGGGUCCUGAGAGGGAGAUCCCCCACACUGGUACUGAGACACGGACCAGACUCCUACGGGAGGCAGCAGUGAGGAAUAUUGGACAAUGGGUGAAAGCCUGAUCCAGCCAUCCCGCGUGAAGGAUUAAGGACCUAUGGUCUGUAAACUUCUUUUGUAACAGGGAUAAACCUGUCCUCGUGAGGGCAGCUGAAGGUACUGUACGAUUAAGCACCGCUAACCAC
rnacentral:rRNA from 1 species